rnacentral:rRNA from 1 species
GGCGAAUAAGCCCUUACGGGGAAAGAUUUAUCGCCAAAGGAUCGGCCCGCGUCUGAUUAGCUAGUUGGUGAGGUAACGGCUCACCAAGGCUACGAUCAGUAGCUGGUCUGAGAGGAUGAUCAGCCACACUGGGACUGAGACACGGCCCAGACUCCUACGGGAGGCAGCAGUUAGGAAUCUUGGACAAUGGGCGCAAGCCUGAUCCAGCCAUGCCGCGUGAGUGAUGAAGGCCUUAGGGUUGUAAAGCUCUUUCAGCGGGGAAGAUAAUGACGGUACCCGCAGAAGAAGCCCCGGCUAACUUCGUGCCAGCAGCCGCGGUAAUAACCUAAAUAGCG